rnacentral:rRNA from 1 species
AUCGAACGCUGGCGGCAUGCUUAACACAUGCAAGUCGAACGGCAGCGCCGGCUUUGGCCUGGCGGCGAGUGGCGAAAGGGGGAGAAAUACACCGGAGUGUGCCCAGCAGGGGGGGAUAGUACGGUGAAAGCAGGAUGAAUAAUGCAUACGACGAGAGGGUGCAAGCGGGGGAUCUUCGGACCUCGUGCUAUUGGAGCGGCCGAUGGCAGAUGAGCUAGUUGGUGGGGUAAUGGGCUACUAAGGCGGCGAUCGGUAGCUGGUCUGAGUGAACGGCCACCCACACGGGAACUGAGACAGGGCCCAGACGCCUGCGGGAGGCAGCAGUGGGGAAUUUUGGGCAAUGGGCGAGAGCCUGAUACAGCAAUGCGGCGUGUGGGAUGAAGGCCUUCGGUUUGGAAAGCACUUUUGGCGGGAACGAAAAGGACUGUGCCAAUACGACGGUUCGAUGACGGUACCGGCAGAAUAAGCACCGGCUAACUACGUG